UACGAAGGGGGCUAGCGUUACUCGGAUUGACUGGGCGUAAAGGGCGCGUAGGCGGCUUGUACAGUCAGACGUGAAAUUCCUGGGCUCAACCUGGGGGCUGCGUUUGAUACGUAUGGGCUUGAGUUCGGAAGAGGGUCGUGGAAUUCAUGGUGUAGCAGUGAAAUGCGUAGAGAUCAUGAGGAAGACCAGUGGCGAAGGCGGGUCUCUGGCCCGGUACUGACGCUGAGGUGCGAAAGCGUGGGGAGCAAACAGG
rnacentral:rRNA from 1 species